UGAGAGUAACACAUAUACUAGCUGCAGCAGGAGAAAAAUGAGGCAAUUUAAAAAAAAAUGAAAAAAAAAUCUGAGCAAAUACGUCCUGCUGUUUCCUGGUCCUGUUCUUAAUCCAACAAAAAAGGAGAUGGGGACAGAUUGCUUUUGAGCCUGGUUCCCGUAGAAGCUGCUGGAUUGGGUUGAAGGUGGAAAGGCAGCCAGUCUUCCUAAUGGACCCCAUAGUAUGCAUGAUUGACAGCUGAUGCUUUCUCCUCUGUCGGUCUCCUCCUACCACCAAGCUAACACCCUGCUUGGAUUUGGGGCAUCUACUCUGAGGUCGCUGGUGGCAGCUGCCACAGGAUGGAGGGCAAUGAGGAGGUGAUCCCUGUGAAGGAUGGGGCCUGUGGCUGAUCUAGUUUCCUUGCAUCAACCCAAGUGCUUGUUCCCUCUGAACAGAGGCUCGACUUCUGAGGUAUGGAAUUCGGCAGCAGGAAACAAAGUGAAGGGAAGCUGGGU